rnacentral:rRNA from 1 species
UAGGGAAUCUUCCGCAAUGGGCGAAAGCUUGACGGAGCAACGCCGCGUGAGUGAUGAAGGUCUUCGGAUCGUAAAACUCUGUUAUUAGGGAAGAACAAAUGUGUAAGUAACUAUGCACGUCUUGACGGUACCUAAUCAGAAAGCCACGGCUAACUACGUGCCAGCAGCCGCGGUAAUACGUAGGUGGCAAGCGUUAUCCGGAAUUAUUGGGCGUAAAGCGCGCGUAGGCGGUUUCUUAAGUCUGAUGUGAAAGCCCACGGCUCAACCGUGGAGUGGCAUUGGAAACUGGAAGACUUGAGUGCAGAAGAGGAAAGUGGAAUUCCAUGUGUAGCGGUGAAAUGCGCAGAGAUAUGGAGGAACACCAGUGGCGAAGGCGACUUUCUGGUCUGUAACUGACGCUGAUGUGCGAAAGCGUGGGGAUCAAACAGG